rnacentral:rRNA from 1 species
CCCUUAGAUGUCCUGGGCCGCACGCGCGCUACACUGAUGCAUUCAACGAGCUUAUAACCUUGGCCGAGAGGCCUGGGCAAUCUUGUUAACGUGCAUCGUGAUAGGGAUAGAUUAUUGAAAUUAUUAAUCUUGAACGAGGAAUUCCUAGUAAACGCAGAUCAUCAAUCUGCAUUGAUUACGUCCCUGCCCUUUGUACACACCGCCCGUCACACCUACCGAUUGGAUGGUCCGGUGAAGCCUCGGGAUUGUGGUUCUUGCCGCUUUAUUGUGGCGUGACCGCGAGAACUUGUCUAAACCUUAUCAUCUAGAGGAAGGUGAAGUCGUAACA